GGGAAGUGAUCAGCGAUGAGCACGGGAUUGACCCAGCCGGAGGCUACGUGGGUGACUCAGCGCUGCAGCUGGAGAGGAUCAACGUCUACUAUAAUGAGUCUUCUUCCCAGAAAUUUGUUCCAAGAGCAGUCUUGGUGGACUUGGAGCCAGGAACCAUGGAUAGUGUGCGGUCUGGUCCUUUUGGUCAGCUCUUCCGGCCUGAUAAUUUCAUCUUUGG